AAACUACUGCUAAGACUGGAUAGGAGACAAGAAGGCAUCUUCUUGUUUUUAAAAGACCUAGUAAUAGGUAUGCUUAGGGAGGAGCUUGCGUCACAUUAGUUAGUUGGUGGGGUAAAGGCCUACCAAGACUAUGAUGUGUAGCCGGGCUGAGAGGUUGAACGGCCACAUUGGGACUGAGACACGGCCCAAACUCCUACGGGAGGCAGCAGUAGGGAAUUUUCGGCAAUGGAGGAAACUCUGACCGAGCAACGCCGCGUGAACGAUGAAGUAUUUCGGUACGUAAAGUUCUUUUAUUAGGGAAGAAUAAAUGAUGGAAAAAUCAUUCUGACGGUACCUAAUGAAUAAGCCCCGGCUAACUAUGUGCCAGCAGCCGCGGUAAUACAUAGGGGGCAAGCGUUAUCCGGAAUUAUUGGGCGUAAAGGGUGCGUAGGCGGUUAAAUAAGUUUAUGGUCUAAGUGCAAUGCUCAACAUUGUGAUGCUAUAAAAACUGUUUAGCUAGAGUAAGAUAGAGGCAAGUGGAAUUCCAUGUGUAGUGGUAAAAUGCGUAAAUAUAUGGAGGAACACCAGUAGCGAAGGCGGCUUGCUGGGUCUUUACUGACGCUGAGGCACGAAAGCGUGGGGAGCAAACAGGAUUAGAUACCCUGGUAGUCCACGCCGUAAACGAUGAGUACUAAACGUUGGGUAAAACCAGUGUUGAAGUUAACACAUUAAGUACUCCGCCUGAGUAGUACGUACGCAAGUAUGAAACUUAAAGGAAUUGACGGGACUCCGCACAAGCGGUGGAUCAUGUUGUUUAAUUCGAAGGUACCCGAAAAACCUCACCAGGUCUUGACAUGCUUCUGCAAAGCUGUAGAAACACAGUGGAGGUUAUCAGUUGCACAGGUGGUGCAUGGUUGUCGUCAGCUCGUGUCGUGAGAUGUUGGGUUAAGUCCCGCAACGAGCGCAACCCUUAUUGUUAGUUACCAGCACGUAAUGGUGGGGACUUUAGCAAGACUGCCAGUGAUAAAUUGGAGGAAGGUGGGGACGACGUCAAAUCAUCAUGCCCCUUAUGACCUGGGCUACAAACGUGAUACAAUGGCUGUUACAAAGGGUAGCUGAAGCGCAAGUUUUUGGCGAAUCUCAAAAAAACAGUCUCAGUUCGGAUUGAAGUCUGCAACUCGACUUCAUGAAGUUGGAAUCGCUAGUAAUCGCGAAUCAGCAUGUCGCGGUGAAUACGUUCUCGGGGUUUGUACACACCGCCCGU
rnacentral:rRNA from 1 species